CGAAAUGCGAUAAGUAGUGUGAAUUGCAGAAUUCAGUGAAUCAUCGAAUCUUUGAACGCACAUUGCGCCCUUUGGUAUUCCAAAGGGCAUGCCUGUUCGAGCGUCAUUUGUACCCUCAAGCUUUGCUUGGUGUUGGGCGUCUUGUCUCUAGCUUUGCUGGAGACUCGCCUUAAAGUAAUUGGCAGCCGGCCUACUGGUUUCGGAGCGCAGCACAAGUCGCACUCUCUAUCAGCAAAGGUCUAGCAUCCAUUAAGCCUUUUUUCAACUUUUGACCUCGGAUCAGGUAGGGAUACCCGCUGAACUUAAGC
rnacentral:misc_RNA from 1 species